CAGCACCCAAAGCUGAAAUUCUACUUAAACUAUUCCUUGAC
rnacentral:tRNA from 1 species